rnacentral:rRNA from 1 species
UAUCAAUAAGCGGAGGAAAAGAAACCAACAGGGAUUGCCCCAGUAACGGCGAGUGAAGCGGCAACAGCUCAAAUUUGAAAUCUGGCCCCCCUCCGGGGGCCCGAGUUGUAAUUUGUAGAGGAUGCUUUUGGUGCGGCGCCAGCUGAGUUCCCUGGAACGGGACGCCACAGAGGGUGAGAGCCCCGUCACGCUGGACGCCAAGCCUAUGUAAAGCUCCUUCGACGAGUCGAGUAGUUUGGGAAUGCUGCUCAAAUUGGGAGGUAUAUGUCUUCUAAAGCUAAAUACCGGCCAGAGACCGAUAGCGCACAAGUAGAGUGAUCGAAAGAUGAAAAGCACUUUGAAAAGAGAGUUAAACAGUACGUGAAAUUGUUGAAAGGGAAGCGCUCAUGACCAGACUUGGGCUUGGCGAAUCACCCGGCGUUCUCGCCGGUGCACUUCGCCUCGCCCAGGCCAGCAUCAGUUCGUCGCGGGGGACAAAAGCGCCGGGAACGUGGCUCCCCCGGGAGUGUUAUAGCCCGGCGCACAAUACCCUGCGGUGGACUGAGGUUCGCGCAUCUGCAAGGAUGCUGGCGUAAUGGUCAUCAGCGACCCGUCUUGAAACACGGACCAAGGAGUCGUCUUCGUAUGCGAGUGUUCGGGUGUCAAACCCCUACGCGUAAUGAAAGUGAACGCAGGUGAGAGCUUCGGCGCAUCAUCGACCGAUCCUGAUGUUCUCGGAUGGAUUUGAGUAAGAGCAUACGGGGCCGGACCCGAAAGAAGGUGAACUAUGCCUGUAUAGGGUGAAGCCAGAGGAAACUCUGGUGGAGGCUCGCAGCGGUUCUGACGUGCAAAUCGAUCGUCAAAUAUGGGCAUGGGGGCGAAAGACUAAUCGAACCUUCUAGUAGCUGGUUUC